GACGAACGCUGGCGGCGUGCUUAACACAUGCAAGUCGAACGGAAAGGCCCUGCUUUUGUGGGGUGCUCGAGUGGCGAACGGGUGAGUAACACGUGAGUAACCUGCCCUUGACUUUGGGAUAACAUCAGGAAACUGGGGCUAAUACCGGAUAGGAGCUCCUGCUGCAUGGUGGGGGUUGGAAAGUUUCGGCGGUUGGGGAUGGACUCGCGGCUUAUCCGCUAGUUGGUGGGGUAGGUGCUUACCAAGGCUUUGACGGGUAGCCGGCCUGAGAGGGUGACCGGCGACAUGAGGACUAAGAGACGGCCCAGACUCGUACGGGAGGCAGCAGUGGGAAGUAUUGCAGAGUGGGCGGGAGCCUGAUGCAGCGGCGCCGCGUGCGGGAUGACGGCCUUCGGGUUGUGAACCGCUUUCGCCUGUGACGAAGCGUGAGUGACGGUAAUGGGUAAAAAAGCACCGGCUAACUACGUG
rnacentral:rRNA from 1 species